rnacentral:sRNA from 1 species
AUUCCCCGGUCCGGACAUUCCUCCCUGAACGUCGGGUCCCCUUUGACAUCCGGGCGUGGUGCGCCUCGCAACAAGAUGUCAGAAAAGUGGCACGCGAGGCAGGGAUGCUUUGGGCUUAUGACUUUCGUCUAAUGCCGUGACCAGGAUGGGGGAAUUCCUGAGGAAGGCGGCCCGGCUCCCGACGCGCAGCCGGCACCGGGCAAGGCCUAGGACCUGUAGACGCUUAUGGAUAGGAGUUUGAUUUUGCACAAAUCGGUCAAUGCCAAGGAUUUUU